GGGGGUGGAUAGGUUUCGACGUUGGUGAAAGCCGCAUGCGGAGCACCAGCGGACGGGGGUUCAACUCCCCCCACCUCCACAA
rnacentral:tmRNA from 1 species